AUGCUCCUGGCUCGCGCCUCCCCCAGCUUCCUCCCCUCCACCUCCACCUCCUCCUCCGCUACCCCGUCGUCGCAGGCGCUGCCGCCGUCCGCGUCCUUCGGAAGGAGCCUGCGCACCGGCGGCAGCCUAACCGCGGCAUCGCCGAACUGCACUGUCAGACGGCCCGUGAUGGCGGCAGCAGCAGCGGCAGUCCCUGCAGCGAAGCUGGAGGACGCCGAGGCUCUUAUUGACUCUGUAGAGACAUUCAUAUUUGACUGCGACGGGGUGAUUUGGAAGGGUGACAAGCUGAUCGAUGGCGUGCCGGAGACGCUCGACCUGCUCAGAUCAAAGGGCAAGAGGCUGGUGUUCGUGACCAACAAUUCGACCAAGUCGAGGAAGCAGUACGGGAAGAAGUUCGAGACGCUCGGCCUCAGUGUCAACGAGGAAGAGAUAUUUGCUUCGUCCUUUGCAGCUGCUGCGUACCUGCAGUCCAUCGAUUUCCCUAAAGACAAGAAGGUUUACGUGAUUGGAGAGGAAGGGAUUCUCAAGGAGCUGGAGCUGGCUGGCUUUCAGUACCUCGGUGGACCUACAGACGGUGACAAGAAGAUUGAGCUGAAGCCUGGCUUCUACAUGGAGCAUGACAAAGAUGUUGGAGCAGUGGUAGUGGGAUUUGAUCGCUAUUUUAACUACUACAAAGUUCAGUACGGGACACUCUGCAUACGUGAGAAUCCUGGGUGCCUUUUCAUUGCAACAAACAGGGACGCUGUCACCCAUCUCACUGAUGCCCAGGAGUGGGCAGGUGGCGGGUCGAUGGUCGGCGCUGUUCUUGGUUCAACCAAACAAGAACCGCUCGUCGUCGGGAAGCCAUCGACAUUCAUGAUGGACUACCUGGCAAAGAAGUUUGGAAUCACAACAUCUCAGAUAUGCAUGGUAGGUGACCGUUUGGAUACUGACGUUCUAUUUGGGCAAAAUGGAGGCUGCAAAACUCUUCUGGUUCUUUCAGGUGUGACUUCUGAGCAGAUGCUUCAAAGCCCCGACAACAAAAUACAGCCAGAUUUCUACACAAACCAAAUUUCUGAUUUUCUCACCCUUAAAACAGCAGCAGUAUGA
rnacentral:rRNA from 1 species